UUUAUAACAUAUUAUCAUUUGAUUCACUAAAUAAUUAAAUAUUAAUCCCGAUUAUAAAUCAUAAUUUAUUUCCAAGUUCUAACUAUAUAUUUGUUUCCUUUUCCUUUUGGGUUCUUAUUUCUGCCUACUUGUUACACCUUUCAACAGUAGGGUGCAGGAGCUUCAACGUGAAAUCUCUCAAAUUGGUCAAGAGAUCGAAAACCUGAUGAGGAGAAUGGGUUAAACCGUUAACAGAUAACAACUUGUGGAGUAUGAUGGGUGAUUUGGAAGAUGAUCUCGAAGAGCACAUUGAUGUUCUGCUAUAGUAGUUCUAGCAUUGGAAUAAGGCAACACAAGUUGUUUCGUUUCAAUCCUUCUAUUUGGUUGGGUGUUUUUUAUCAUUUUGUCUUAUUUUUCCUUUCUUCCUAAGUCUAAAGAUUUUUGUAUGUCAGAUUUGAUUGGUUUUCAUCAUUUUGUCUUUGUUUUGCAUUGUUUCUGGGUCCUAAAGUCUUUUGUAAGAGACUGAUAUUUAUGAAAAAAAGGUCGUUCAUUGAGACAA